GGGCACCAAAGGGGAGUGGGGCGGGGCUGGACGGUUCCGCUCCCUAGGUCCCCCACUCGCGGGGCUUCGCGUCUCCCUGCUUUAACCUUCCUUCCGCUUAAAAUUGCAGGAGUGGUUUCUUUUUUCUACAGAUGAAUUCUCCCUGAGACAGGUGAGGAGAGAAGAGGGCCCAAGAUAAUGUCCAGAAGAACGUCCAGCACUGAAAAUGGGCAGGGAGGAGGAGAGUCCAGAAGAGAGAUCAGAGAAAGAGCAUCAAGGGAGAAGAGUGGUUUCAAGGACACCAAGAUUAACAAUGCCAGUGUCAACUGCUGCCAGGAAGCAGUAGGCUCCAAGCCCAGCAUGAAGCCCAACAGAGGGCUUGAACUCACAACCCUGAGAUCAAGACCUGAACUGAGAUCAAGAGUUGGACAGUUAACCAACUGAGCCACCCAGACGCCCGGAUAAUGACUGAAAUUGAGAGAUGCCCAUCUGCUCAAGUGCCCUUGUUGCUCUAAGGACCCAGCCUUCCUGUCCAGCAGUCACCUCCCAUCUCUACCCCUAUGAAGAAGCCAGAGGUAAAACAC